AUGAACGUGGUGCCUUCAGGUUCUUCUCCUGAUGCCCUUGGUGUCAUCUACGAGCGGGGGUUCAUCGGAACGUUCCAUGACUGGUGCGAGGCUUUCUCGACGUAUCCCAGGACGUAUGACCUCAUCCAUGCUGAUAAAGUGUUCAGCUUUUAUCAGGAUAGGUAA
rnacentral:rRNA from 1 species